rnacentral:rRNA from 1 species
CCGGAGGAAGGUGGGGAUGACGUCAAGUCCUCACUUGGCCCUUAUAGGUGGGGCUACACACGUCAUACAAUGGCCGGUACAGAGGGUAGCCAACCCGGCGAGGGGGGAGCCAAAUCCCACAAAGCCGGUCGUAGUCCGGAUCGCAGUCUGCAACUCGACUGCGUGAAGUCGGAAUCGCUAGUAAUCGCGGAUCAGCAUGUCGCGGUGAAUACGUUCCCGGGUCUU